GUUAAGGCAUUAGUGCAUUGUUGCAUUGAGGCAUUGUGGGUUCUCCUAUGAGUCACUGUUUGAGCCGCUGGUUCUCCUGGAGAAGCUUUGGUCCUCACAUCCGGAAUUGCUUCCUGGCUCCAGAAGGGAAGACAUGUGUGCUUGGUCUCCAGGAUGAACUCGACAUGCUGGCUUCCUAGCAUGUGCCCGACUGUGCUUUCAGAGGAGGAGCUCAGGGCCUCUGUGUUGCUGAGGAUGGCUGUGGUGCUUUUCAGGACAAUCCUCGUCUUUGUUGUAAGUGUGACUUCUGGGCUCCAGCACAGAACCCUCAUCACCAGCACAGCUCCUUCAACCCGCUGCAUGGACUUUCUGGCUUCUACUGCUGACCUUUGGGCCUGCUCAGCACGGAUCCGUAAAAGAGAUUGGUGCAUCCAUUUCUCUACAAAUGUCUUAAAAGUGUCCGUCUUUGUACCCAAAUAGUAUAUCAUUGUGUGUAACUACAGCUGCUUUAUUUUACUGGCCUCAUGCGUUUGCAUUGUGCAUUUGUGAUGGUUCAUUGUCUAGUCCUUGGAUUGAUGGUGUCAGUGCUACAUUCACAAAGCGAUGGAGCAAGGAUGUGAUGUAAUCGCAGGAAGAAGGUAAACUCAACAAAGAAAACAAAAUUGUGCAUAAGGUGGAACUUCUGGGGGCCACGUUCAACUACUGAUAAUUUAAGCAUGGAAAACAAAGCUGUAGAUUAUGUGGAAGUACUACAAAUGCAAGGAUAACAUUCCAAGGCCUCAACAACAACUCUGACUGAACCAAAGUAUUACAAAGUAUUAAUAUACUUGUAGAUGCUUCAAAGAAAAUGGACUCUAGGUUGAAGAUUAUAAAGUCAAAAUUGGAACUAUAAUUAGAAUUAUUCAUCUCUAUGUGUUCUUCCUCUUUUUGUCUCCAUAUUUUGUUCCCAGGGGAAGUUGUAUUCCAUGACACUUUCUGGUGCGUCUGGUGGAGUGGCUUACUUCACCCUAAGCAGCUCUCUGCCUCCAAACAAACCCACAGUGCGCACAAGUCAUGUGCAGUGAUGUUACAUUGCUUGCAUAGAAGAGAAGGUGUGAACACCAGAGGAAAAGGCAGGAUUUGGAGUGACUGAGUUGGGGAAGGCUGAAUAGGUUACUGUGUUAAUCCUUCUAUAAUAAUUUUAAAACAUAUCCCAGUGAUGAUUUUACCAUUUCUGUCUUAAUAUUUUGACUGUAACCAAAACUGAUAUUAUCCAUUACUGUGUCUGCAAACUUGUAUUAAUAUUUUUACAUUAUUUUAUUUUGGUACAUUCUUGUCAGACAUAGUGGUAACAUUCACUUUGUGGAAUUUGGACCUUGCGUAAUAUAUAUUGAUUUUUCUUUUUCCCCACUCUUCCCAUUAGGCCACCUCCAUCUCCUUAUUUAACAAGCUUUGUUUCCUUUUUUUCCUUUAGCUCUGUUUCUUAAAAUCGUGUCCUUUCUUUACUGCCCUAGCCUCUUUUGUCCCUCUUCUCAUUUGAGCAUUUUCUUUCUACUUCUCAAUAGAUAUUAUGUAUUUUGUUUCUAUUUACACUUUUGGUUCCUCACACUAGAGAAACACGCAAUAUUUACACAGAGCUUCCCGACCCAAAUUUAAAGAUCCAGUCCAAAACUGAGCAUCUGAAAUGAACAGACUCUUCUGAGAUCAAGAAGUACAAAAGGCAAAUAAAUAUAUGGAAAGAAAAGUUCAACAUCACUUUUCAUGAGGGAUGCAAAUUAAGACAAUGCUAAGAUUCCAUCUCCAGGAAAAAAUGUUGGAAUCAAGAAAUCAACCAAUAAAAAAAUGUUGGUGGGGCUGUGGGGAAAAAAGGAACACCUUUCCACUGUUUCUGGGAGUGGAAACUGGGGCAAUAACUGUGAAAAUAAGUGUGGAGAUUCCUCAAAAAAUUACAACUAGAGGUUCCAUUUGACCUAACUGUUGUCCUUCUUGGUAUAGUCCUAAAAGAAUAAAAAGCAUCAUACCACAGCAAUUUUUGCAUCACUGUGUUUAUAGGUUCACAAUCUGUAAUAGCAGUAUCUUGGAAAUAGCCCAAAUGCCCAUCAACAGAUGGAGGGAUAAAGAAGAUGUGUUUUUUUUUUUUUUUUUAAAUGCAUCAGAGUACUACUCUGCCAUGAAAAGAUAAGCUUGAGGCAUUUCUAGGUAAAUGGCUCUACCUUGAAACAAUACUCUAACUAAAAUAAAAAUAAUUGUAACUGAUACAUAAAAAAUUUACACAUUAAUGCGUAACAUAUUUUCAAUAAGUGGAACUUAUCCAAUUUUUAAAUCAGAACAAUCAAAUCAGUAUCCUAGAACAUUUAUUACUUUUAAGAUAAAAUCUUUGAAAUUCCAUUCUAGUUUCUGAAAUGUACAGCAUAUUAUUAUAGUUAAUACUACUGUGUAACAGCACUUCAAAAUUUCAGUCCCAUAUUUAACUGUAACUACUCACUCCAUUUUCC